UACGGAGGAUGCGAGCGUUAUCCGGAUUUAUUGGGUUUAAAGGGUGCGUAGGCGGCAUGUUAAGUUAGUGGUAAAAUGUCGGAGCUAAACUCCGGAUCGCCAUUAAUACUGUCAUGCUCGAGUACAGACGAGGUAGGCGGAAUAAGUUAAGUAGCGGUGAAAUGCAUAGAUAUAACUUAGAACUCCGAUCGCGAAGGCAGCUUACCAGACUGUAACUGACGCUGAAGCACGAGAGCGUGGGUAGCAAACAGGAUUAGAAACCCCUGUAGUCCACAUCCGGUGCCAGCAGCCGCGGUA
rnacentral:rRNA from 1 species